rnacentral:misc_RNA from 1 species
AAGGAUCAUUCAUGAGCGUUGGAGCCCUCCGGCUCCAAACCUCCAUCCCGAGCGUACCUUUCUCUCCUGCCUGGCCGGCCCGCGCGGUAACUCGCGCGGCGGCCAACCUUUAAAACCUUUCUUCUUGAACAGUACCGUCCGAGUCGAUUUAUAAAAUCAAAACAAAACUUUCAACAAUGGAUCUCUUGGCUCUG